AUUGAACGCUGGCGGAAUGCUUUACACAUGCAAGUCGAACGGCAGCACGGGGGCAACCCUGGUGGCGAGUGGCGAACGGGUGAGUAAUACAUCGGAACGUGCCCAGUCGUGGGGGAUAACGUAGCGAAAGCUACGCUAAUACCGCAUACGAACUCUGGUAGAAAGCGGGGGAUCGCAAGACCUCGCGCGAUUGGAGCGGCGGAUGGCAGAUUAGGUAGUUGGUGGGGUAAAGGCUCACCAAGCCGACGAUCUGUAGCUGGUCUGAGAGGACGACCAGCCACACUGGGACUGAGACACGGCCCAGACUCCUACGGGAGGCAGCAGUGGGGAAUUUUGGACAAUGGGCGCAAGCCUGAUCCAGCCAUUCCGCGUGCAGGAUGAAGGCCCUCGGGUUGUAAACUGCUUUUGUACGGAACGAAAAGGCUUUCUCUAAUACAGAGAGCUCAUGACGGUACCGUAAGAAUAAGCACCGGCUAACUACGUGCCAGCCGCCGCCGUAA
rnacentral:rRNA from 1 species